rnacentral:tRNA from 1 species
GGAGGGGUGGUCGAGUGGUUGAUGGCUCCGGUCUUGAAAACCGGCAGGGCGCAAGCCCUCGUGGGUUCGAAUCCCACCCCCUCCGCCC